CUGAAGAGUUUGAUCAUGGCUCAGAUUGAACGCUGGCGGCAGGCUUAACACAUGCAAGUCGAGCGGUAACAGGGGGUGCUUGCACUCCGCUGACGAGCGGCGGACGGGUGAGUAAUGCUUAGGAAUCUGCCUGGUAGUGGGGGAUAGCCCGGGGAAACCCGGAUUAAUACCGCAUACGCCCUACGGGGGAAAGCAGGGGAUCUUCGGACCUUGCGCUAUUGGAUGAGCCUAAGUCGGAUUAGCUAGUUGGUGGGGUAAAGGCCUACCAAGGCGACGAUCCGUAGCUGGUCUGAGAGGAUGAUCAGCCACAUCGGGACUGAGACACGGCCCGAACUCCUACGGGAGGCAGCAGUGGGGAAUAUUGGACAAUGGGGGCAACCCUGAUCCAGCCAUGCCGCGUGUGUGAAGAAGGCUUUCGGGUUGUAAAG
rnacentral:rRNA from 1 species